CCUGCUGUACGACCAGCAGUAGCCUAGGAAGACACGCGUCACUGGCAAUGGUGGGGUGUGAAGCUCUUCUAACAAUGUACCCCCCGGAAGUUCGGGCGGAUGGUGGUUGCGAGAUGACCAUCCGGAGACUCCCAGCAGCAACGGGGUUGAGGGG
rfam:Burkholderia sp. ST111 contig_4, whole genome shotgun sequence.